rnacentral:ncRNA from 1 species
AGAUCCGGGCCAGAGCGACGCGUUGUCCGCCGCUCGUUUGCCGACCAGCAGUAGGGGCCCUCCGGCCCCCAAAGGCACGUGUCGUUGGCUAAGCCCUCGCGGCGGACGAGCCGCGCGGGCCGCCUUGAAUUACAAUUUCCACCGGGCGGCGGACUGAAUCCUUUGCAGACGACUUAAAUACGCGACGGGGUAUUGUAAGUGGCAGAGUGGCCUUGCUGCCACGAUCCACUGAGAUUCAGCCCUUCGUCGCUCCGAUUCGU